rnacentral:rRNA from 1 species
CCUACGGGGGGCUGCAGUGGGGAAUAUUGGACAAUGGGGGGAACCCUGAUCCAGCCAUGCCGCGUGUGUGAAGAAGGCCCUCGGGUUGUAAAGCACUUUCAGUGAGGAAGAACGCCUGGUGGUUAAUACCCAUCAGGAAAGACAUCACUCACAGAAGAAGCACCGGCUAACUCCGUGCCAGCAGCCGCGGUAAUACGGAGGGUGCGAGCGGUAAUCGGAAUUACUGGGCGUAAAGCGCGCGUAGGUGGCUUGAUAAGCCGGUUGUGAAAGCCCCGGGCUCAACCUGGGAACGGCAUCCGGAACUGUCAAGCUAGAGUGCAGGAGAGGAAGGUAGAAUUCCCGGUGUAGCGGUGAAAUGCGUAGAGAUCGGGAGGAAUACCAGUGGCGAAGGCGGCCUUCUGGACUGACACUGACACUGAGGUGCGAAAGCGUGGGUAGCAAGCAGGAUUAGAUACCCUAGUAGUC